rnacentral:rRNA from 1 species
CAACGAUGAAGAGUUUGAUCCUGGCUCAGGAUGAACGCUAGCGGCAGGCCUAACACAUGCAAGUCGAACGGUAACAUUGGUGCUUGCACCAGAUGACGAGUGGCGCACGGGUGCGUAACGCGUAUGCAAUCUGCCUUGUACUGGAGUAUAGCCCAGGGAAACUUGGAUUAAUCCUCCAUAGUAUAUAGAAAUGGCAUCAUUUUUAUAUUAAAGGUUACGGUACAAGAUGAGCAUGCGUCCCAUUAGCUAGUAGGUAUGGUAACGGCAUACCUAGGCAACGAUGGGUAGGGGUCCUGAGAGGGAGAUCCCCCACACUGGUACUGAGACACGGACCAGACUCCUACGGGAGGCAGCAGUGAGGAAUAUUGGACAAUGGGGGCAACCCUGAUCCAGCCAUGCCGCGUGCAGGAAGACUGCCCUAUGGGUUGUAAACUGCUUUUAUAGGGGAAGAACCCCCUCCACGUGUGGAGGGCUGACGGUACCCUACGAAUAAGGAUCGGCUAACUCCGUGCCAGCAGCCGCGGUAAUACGGAGGAUCCAAGCGUUAUCCGGAAUCAUUGGGUUUAAAGGGUCCGUAGGCGGGCAGUUAAGUCAGUGGUGAAAGUCCUCCGCUCAACGGGGGAACUGCCAUUGAUACUGAUUGUCUUGAGUCACUGUGAAGUGGUUGGAAUGAGUAGUGUAGCGGUGAAAUGCAUAGAUAUUACUCAGAACACCUAUUGCGAAGGCAGAUCACUAACAGUGCACUGACGCUGAUGGACGAAAGCGUAGGUAGCGAACAGGAUUAGAUACCCUGGUAGUCUACGCCGUAAACGAUGGUCACUAGCUGUCCGGCCCAAUUGAGGGCUGGGUGGUUAAGCGAAAGUGAUAAGUGACCCACCUGGGGAGUACGUUCGCAAGAAUGAAACUCAAAGGAAUUGACGGGGGCCCGCACAAGCGGUGGAGCAUGUGGUUUAAUUCGAUGAUACGCGAG